AGAGUUUGAUUCUGGCUCAGGACGAACGCUGGCGGCGCGCCUAACACAUGCAAGUCGAACGGAGCUUAGAGAGCUUGCUUUUUAAGCUUAGUGGCGAACGGGUGAGUAACGCGUGAGUAACCUGCCCUGGAGUGGGGGACAACAGUUGGAAACGACUGCUAAUACCGCAUAAGCCCACGGUACCGCAUGGUACUGAGGGAAAAGGAUUUAUUCGCUUUAGGAUGGACUCGCGUCCAAUUAGCUAGUUGGUGAGGUAACGGCCCACCAAGGCGACGAUUGGUAGCCGGACUGAGAGGUUGAACGGCCACAUUGGGACUGAGACACGGCCCAG
rnacentral:rRNA from 1 species